UUCUCGAUGGCUCAGUCGGAUAGAGCGUUUGCCAUGCAAGCAAAAGAUCCCGGGUUCGAGUCCCGGGCGGGGCA